UUACGGGAGGCAGCAGUGGGGAAUCUUGCGCAAUGGGCGAAAGCCUGACGCAGCAACGCCGCGUGGGGGAUGAAGGCCCUCGGGUUGUAAACCCCUUUCGGCAGGGACGAUUAUGACGGUACCUGCAGAAGAAGCCCCGGCCAACUACGUGCCAGCAGCCGCGGUAAGACGUAGGGGGCAAGCGUUGUCCGGAUUUAUUGGGCGUAAAGAGCUCGUAGGCGGCUUGGCAAGUCGGGUGUGAAAACUCCAGGCUCAACCUGGAGAGGCCACUCGAUACUGCCAUGGCUAGAGUCCGGUAGGGGCGCACGGAAUUCCCGGUGUAGCGGUGAAAUGCUUAGAUAUCGGGAGGAACACCAGUGGCGAAGGCGGUGCGCUGGGCCGGAACUGACGCUGAGGAGCGAAAGCGUGGGGAGCGAACAGGAUUAGAUACCCUGGUAGA
rnacentral:rRNA from 1 species